UACGUAGGGGGCAAGCGUUGUCCGGAAUCAUUGGGCGUAAAGCGCGUGUAGGCGGUCCGGUAAGUCCGCUGUGAAAGUCGGGGGCUCAACCCUCGAAUGCCGGUGGAUACUGUCGGGCUAGAGUGCGGAAGAGGCGAGUGGAAUUCCUGGUGUAGCGGUGAAAUGCGCAGAUAUCAGGAGGAACACCGAUGGCGAAGGCAGGUCUCUGGGCCACUACUGACGCUGAGAAGCGAAAGCAUGGGGAGCGAACAGG
rnacentral:rRNA from 1 species